CUUCAAGUCAGUAAAAUGCCUGCCUUUAGUUUCUGUGGAAAUUCAGGCCCUAACAACUGAAGUUUCUUCUGGCUGGUGUUUCUUCUGUCUAGGAUAAUUUCAUUUCCCUUUUGAAGACUUACAAGGAUGUAUUCACACCAGAAGACAUUCUUCUCACUGAAGUACAGUUAAGCCCCACAAAGUGCCAA